UACGUAGGGGGGCUAGCGUUGUCCGGAUUUAUUGGGCGUAAAGAGCGUGUAGGCGGCCAGGUAGGUCUGGUGUGAAAACUCGAGGCUUAACCUCGAGAUGUCAUCGGAAACCAUCUGGCUAGAGUCCGGAAGAGGAGAGUGGAAUUCCUGGUGUAGCGGUGAAAUGCGCAGAUAUCAGGAAGAACACCAAUGGCGAAAGCAGCUCUCUGGGACGGUACUGACGCUGAGGAGCGAAAAGCGUGGGGGAGCGAACAGG
rnacentral:rRNA from 1 species